rnacentral:rRNA from 1 species
AUUGAACGCUGGCGGCAGGCCUAACACAUGCAAGUCGAGCGAGCGGCGGACGGGUGAGUAAUGUGUGGGAAACUGCCUGAUGGAGGGGGAUAACUACUGGAAACGGUAGCUAAUACCGCAUACCAUCAGAUGUGCCACGGGGGGAUUAGCUAGUAGGUGGGGUAACGGCGCACCUAGGCGACGAUCCCUAGCUGGUCUGAGAGGAUGACCAGCCAAACUGGAACUGAGACACGGUCCAGACUCCUACGGGAGGCAGCAGUGGGGAAUAUUGCACAAUGGGCGCAAGCCUGAUGCAGCCAUGCCGCGUGUGUGAAGAAGGCCUUCGGGUUGUAAAGCACUUUCAGCGGGGAGGCGUUACCCGCAGAAGAAGCACCGGCGAACUCCGUGCCAGCAGCCGCGGUAAUAC